rnacentral:rRNA from 1 species
CAAGCGGUGGAUUAUGUGGAUUAAUUCGAUGCAACGCGAAAAACCUUACCUACCCUUGACAUGUCAGAAAGAUCGCAGAGAUGUGAUUGUGCCCGAAAGGGAAUCUGAACACAGGUGCUGCAUGGCUGUCGUCAGCUCGUGUCGUGAGAUGUUGGGUUAAGUCCCGCAACGAGCGCAACCCUUGCCAUUAAUUGCCAUCAUUCAGUUGGGCACUUUAAUGGGACUGCCGGUGAUAAACCGGAGGAAGGUGGGGAUGACGUCAAGUCCUCAUGGCCCUUAUGGGUAGGGCUUCACACGUAAUACAAUGGUCGGUACAGAGGGUCGCCAACCCGCGAGGGGGAGCCAAUCUCAGAAAGCCGAUCGUAGUCCGGAUUGUUCUCUGCAACUCGAGAGCAUGAAGUCGGAAUCGCUAGUAAUCGCGGAUCAGCAUGUCGCGGUGAAUACGUUCCCGGGUCUUGUACACACCGCCCGUCACACCAUGGGAGCGGGUUCUGCCAGAAGUAGUUAGUCUAACCGCAAGGAGGGCGAUUACCACGGCAGGGUUCGUGACUG